CGGCGGACGGGUGAGUAACGCGUGGGUAACCGUGCCUCAUACAGGGGGAUAACAGUUGGAAACGGCUGCUAAUACCGCAUAAGCGCACAGUACCGCAUGGUACGGUGUGAAAAACUACCGGUGGUAUGAGAUGGACCCGCGUCUGAUUAGGUAGUUGGUGGGGUAACGGCCUACCAAGCCGACGAUCAGUAGCCGACCUGAGAGGGUGACCGGCCACAUUGGGACUGAGACACGGCCCAA
rnacentral:rRNA from 1 species